GAUGAACGCUAGCGGCAGGCCUAAUACAUGCAAGUCGGACGGGAUUCAGGAGCUUGCUUCUGAUGAGAGUGGCGCACGGGUGCGUAACACGUAUGUAACCUACCUUUAUCAGGGGGAUAGCCUCUCGAAAGAGAGAUUAAGCCCGCAUAAAAUCACAGCACAGCAUUGUGUAAUGAUCAAAUAUUUAUAGGAUAAAGAUGGGCAUGCGGAACAUUAGCUAGAUGGCGGGGUAACGGCCCACCAUGGCGACGAUGGUUAGGGGAUCUGAGAGGAUGGCCCCCCACACUGGUACUGAGACCCGGACCAGACUCCUACGGGACGCAGCAGUAAGGAAUAUUGGUCAAUGGGCGGAAGCCUGACCCAGCCAUGCCGCGUGCAGGAAGACGGCCCUACGGGUUGUAAACUGCUUUUAUACGGGAAUAAACCCAGAUACGUGUAUCUGGCUGAAUGUACUGUAAGAAUAAGGAUCGGCUAACUCCGUG
rnacentral:rRNA from 1 species